AUGUCCCCGACGGCAAGUUCUACCUUGGAGAUGCUGGCUAUGCAUGUCGGUCGGGUAUUCUUCCACCCUUCAGGAAAAUCAGGUACCAUCUCAACGAGUUCUCUGGUAGGAACUAUCCUAGGACUGCACAGGAGCUGUUUAAUCUCAAACACAGUAAUUGUUGAGAGGGCAUUUGAAGCUCUGAAGAAUAGGUUUAAGAUCCUGGAUCAGAAGCCAUUCCACCCAUACUCCACUCAGGUUAAGCUUGUUCUUGCUUGUUGCAUUCUGCAUAACUGGAUCCUCCAAUGGGGCUUUGAUGAACACGUGCCUGAGGAGGAAGAGGUCGAGCCUGACGAUGUUGUUAGCUCCGGUCAUGGUGUGGAGGCAUUUGACAAUGACGCUUGGAAGAACAAAAGGUUGGAGUGGGCAGAGGCAAUGUGGCUUAAUAGAGGUCAGUGCAGGAUUUGA
rnacentral:rRNA from 1 species